CCCUCGGGGUGCAGCAGGCGCGAAACCUCCUCAAUGCACUAACGUGCGAAGGGGUUACCUCGAGUGCUAUCUGAAGAAGGUGGCUUUUCCAUGGUCUAAAAAGCCUAGGGAAUAAGAGGGGGGCAAGACUGGUGUCAGCCGCCGCGGUAACACCAGCCCCUCGAGUGGUGGGGAUGAUUAUUUGGCCUAAAGCGUCCGUAGCUUGCCAGAAAAGUUUCCCGUUAAAUCCGACGUCUCAAGCGUUGGACCGCGGGAAAUACUGUCUGGCUAGAGAGUGGGAGAGGUUAGCGGUAUUCUGGGGGUAGGGGCGAAAUCCUUUGAUCCCCGGAGGACCACCAGUGGCGAAGGCUGCUAACUAGAACACGUCUGACGGUCAGGGACGAAAGCUGGGGUAGCGAACCGGAUUAGAUACCCGGGUAGUCCCAGCCGUAAACGAUGCAUGCUAGGUGUUGGGUUGGCCACGAGCCACCCCAGUGCCGCAGGGAAGCCGUUAAGCAUGCCGCCUGGGAAGUACGAUCGCAAGGUUGAAACUUAAAGGAAUUGGCGGGGGAGCACCACCAGGCGUGAAGCCUGCGGUUUAAUUGGAGUCAACGCCGGGAACCUUACCGGAAGCGACAGCAGAGUGAAGGCCAGAUUGAAGAUCUUACCAGACGAGCUGAGAGGAAGUGCAUGGCC
rnacentral:rRNA from 1 species